CAGUAGCCGCGGUAAUACGUAGGGUGCAAGCGUUAAUCGGAAUUACUGGGCGUAAAGCGUGCGCAGGCGGUUAUAUAAGACAGAUGUGAAAUCCCCGGGCUCAACCUGGGAACUGCAUUUGUGACUGUAUAGCUAGAGUACGGCAGAGGGGGAUGGAAUUCCGCGUGUAGCAGUGAAAUGCGUAGAUAUGCGGAGGAACACCGAUGGCGAAGGCAAUCCCCUGGGCCUGUACUGACGCUCAUGCACGAAAGCGUGGGGAGCAAACAGGAUUAGAGACCCGGGUAGUCCCUGUCUCUUAUAC
rnacentral:rRNA from 1 species